GCUUUCGACGGUUGGGUGAGACUGAAAGGCCACUUGCUGUCAGAAAAAGAAUGUUUGGUCGUGCCUGGCCUCUUAGAGCUCCUGUGAGGGAUGGUAUUGUUCCAACUUGGCCGGAGCUGAUGGAUAGUGAAAGUGUUCCGUGUAUUAAUGAUGAGGUUGCUACUGAAUGGUUGAACAACGAAACUGUUAGGAAGGCAAUCCAUGCAGAAACGGAUUUUUCAUGGGAAUUAUGCACAAGCAGAAUUGAAU